AGAGUUUGAUCAUGGCUCAGGAUGAACGCUGGCGGUAUGCUUAACACAUGCAAGUCGAACGGAGUGCUUCGGCACUUAGUGGCGGACGGGUGAGUAACGCGUGAGAAUCUGGCUUCGGGUUCGGGACAACAGUGGGAAACUGCUGCUAAUACCGGAUGUGCCUAAAGGUAAAAGAUUAAUUGCCCGAAGAUGAGCUCGCGUCCGAUUAGCUAGUUGGUGUGGUAAGAGCGCACCAAGGCGUCGAUCGGUAGCUGGUCUGAGAGGACGAUCAGCCACACUGGGACUGAGACACGGCCCAGACUCCUACGGGAGGCAGCAGUGGGGAAUUUUCCGCAAUGGGCGAAAGCCUGACGGAGCAAUACCGCGUGAGGGAGGAAGGCUCUUGGGUUGUAAACCUCUUUUCUCAGGGAAGAACAAAAUGACGGUACCUGAGGAAUCAGCAUCGGCUAACUCCGUGCCAGCAGCCGCGGUAAUACGGAGGAUGCAAGCGUUAUCCGGAAUGAUUGGGCGUAAAGCGUCCGCAGGUGGCUUAUCAAGUCGAUUGUCAAAGGUCCUGGCUCAACUGGGAACAGGCAGUGGAAACUGAAAAGCUAGAGUGCGGUAGGGGUAGAGGGAAUUCCCGGUGUAGCGGUGAAAUGCGUAGAGAUCGGGAAGAACACCAGUGGCGAAAGCGCUCUACUAGGCCUGCACUGACACUCAUGGACGAAAGCUAGGGGAGCGAAUGGGAUUAGAUACCCCGGUAGUCC
rnacentral:rRNA from 1 species